AUUGAACGCUGGCGGCAGGCCUAACACAUGCAAGUCGAGCGGAGCGGCGGACGGGUGAGUAAUGCCUAGGAAUCUGCCUGGUAGUGGGGGAUAACGUCCGGAAACGGGCGCUAAUACCGCAUACUAUUUGAUUAGCCUAGGUCGGAUUAGCUAGUUGGUGGGGAAAAGGCCUACCAAGGCGACGAUCCGUAACUGGUCUGAGGGGAUGAUCAGUCCAACUGGAACUGAGACACGGUCCAGAGUCCUAGGGGAGGCAGCAGUGGGGAAUGUUGGGCAAUGGGCGAAAGCCUGAUCCAGCCAUGCCGGGUGUGUGAAGAAGGUCUUCGGAUUGUAAAGCACUUUAAGUUGGGAGGCGUUACCAACAGAAUAAGCACCGGCUAACUUCGUGCCAGCGGCCGCGGUAAUU
rnacentral:rRNA from 1 species